UACGGGGGGGAGCAAGCGUUGUUCGGAUUUACUGGGCGUAAAGGGCGCGUAGGCGGGCGCAACAAGUCACUUGUGAAAUCUCCGGGCUUAACCCGGAGCGGUCAAGUGAUACUGUCGUGCUAGAGGUGCGGAAGGGGCUACUGGAAUUCUCGGUGUAGCGGUGAAAUGCGUAGAUAUCGAGAGGGAACACCCUGGCGGCGAAGGCGGGUUGCUGGGCUGACACGUGACGCUGACAGCGCGAAAGCUAGGGGAGCGAACGGG
rnacentral:rRNA from 1 species